rnacentral:rRNA from 1 species
UCCUUAUUCUUACAGUACCGUCAAUCUUCCACACGUGAAAGGGUUUCUUCCUGUACAAAAGCAGUUUACAAUCCAUAGGACCGUCAUCCUGCACGCGGCAUGGCUGGAUCAGGCUUGCGCCCAUUGUCCAAUAUUCCUCACUGCUGCCUCCCGUAGGCCCCCCGUGCCCA